UCGACCAUAACCAAUGCACUAAAUCCCAUCAGAAUUCUGCAGUUAAGCGUGCUUGGGUAAGAGCAGUACUAGAAAGGGUGACCCAUAGGGAUUUCUUCGUGUUACACCCC